UUCAUUCAUCUCUACGGCGUCUGAGGACGUUCUAGGUGGACUGCCGAUCCUAGAACAACCCAAGGUGCGCCUGCCCUAACGGGGUCCCUCCCGGGCGAGCGUUCUUUGGUUUCCAUCGUCGGGCAUCACCGGCGAAACCGGUCUGACCGGUCACCCUAAACGGUCUGACCAACCCAUGGAGAGGUGCUGCAAAGAGCACCUCUGUGCGCCGCACGUUCGUGUGUCGGAAAAAAAGCGUCAACAACACUGUUGGAGAAGUUCGUCACACCCGAAUCCUAGGCUGCUACAACAGAGAGCACGUGCAACAGCAGACACAGUGGGGGAGCUCGUCUUCCCCGACCCCGGCAACGGCUCCGACGAGGAUGGCCCGGCGGUGGCGGUGGGCACGGGGGCGGCGAGGGCAAGGCGGCGGUGACACCGCGCGGUCGGGACGACGGUGGAUAUCCGCUUCGCUCACACGUCGUCUAGGAUGCUUGGCGCCGGCGGCAUUGACUCCAUCGCCGAGGAGCCCCACCACGCGCGCGGCUCCGGGGGCCACCAAUGGCGGCAGCGGCCCAAAGCCGAGCCAGGCGGCGCUCGGCUACGCGAUCUUCGCUGAGGCCAGCGUUGUGCUCGCCGUCAUGCGCCGGGCCUCCGCCACCCGCACGCCACGGCGGCCGACAACGACGCCGUCGAGCACCCGCUCGUCGCCUCCCUCCACGCGCUCUGCUGCCUUACCUUCUCCCCCGCCGCCUCCUCCCCGCCUGUUGUGCUGUGGCCCUUCCUCGACAUCGUUUGCUCCAAUGACGUCGACAUCGCCGUCACCUCCACGAGGUCAUGUCCCUCGAGGCUGGGGCCGAGCUCGCCGCCGAGGAGGCCGUGCUCAUGAGGAUGCUGCAGGCACUCCUCGCCUGCCUCCGCGCCCCCACCGCCGCCCCCCUCGGGGAGCAAUACGUUUGAACCACCGCCAACACCUGCUUCCGUGUCGUCCACCAGGCCGCCAAGGGAAGGGAUAAGGUGAGGGAAGCUCGGACAUUUCGCUUCCCUGAUCCACGCUCGCACAGUAAAUUGGCACGCCACAUCUGCAAAAAAUUGGUAAAAAUGUUGCUUCGAUCCUGCGAGAUGGCAACUAAAAGAGUGACGUCUGUAAGUUACAGACUAGCAAAUAGACAUCUUAAGAAGAGCAAAUAGUUAAAUAUACGUAAGAAUAGCAAAUAGACAUCUAGCAAAUAGUUAAAUAUCAUGGGAGUCUGUGUUUCAUUUCAGCUUCCAGGGAAAAGAAAAGAGUCGAUGCUGUGUUUUAGGGAAAAGAGAAGUAGUUGAUGAUGUCACGACUCACGAGGAACCUCUAUACGGAAUCAGACUCAAGGCAUGUGUUUAGUUCUGGGGUCGAAGUGAGUUGGGUUAGAGCCGACCCACUUCGACCCAUGUUUGAUUGCAAAUGAGUGUGGGUUGGAGCCAACCUUCAUGGAUAUAUUCCUUUCAUAUU